CCAACACUAGCAGCAAUGGUAACUUUGACGGAGAUGACUUGGAACAAAAACACAUGCUUCCGACGUCUUCUGUUGGUGAAGACACAAUCUUUACUACUUGAGCUAUGUAAUUAGGCCGGCUAAGUCGUCGAGCCCGAUUGCACCACCUACCACAAGGAUUGGCUAAGAAAGUCUGGUGUUCACUGGAGCUACUUUGUAGAGGCUGCUUCUUUUUGUGCAGUAAUACACAGUAACCUGUGAGAGAGAUAAAGAAGCAGAUCUUGUGCUCUAUGCAGUUGACAACAAAACAAAUAACCACAUCGACUUCAGAGGGAUUUGAAGAAGGUUCAUCACCCCGAAUUGUCUUAUGGAAGUAACUUGAAUUAUCAACUGGUAUGGCCUGUAAAUAAACUACAUUGUCAUGUUAGUUAGAGGGAAGUGGGUCUACAUACUGCUUAGCUAGAUUAAUUGUGAUAGUAAGGUGUAUUUUGCUGCUUUGUCAACAAUUUCAAUUUAGACACUUGUUUUUUGGGAUGA